rnacentral:lncRNA from 1 species
CAGAGGUCGUCUUCUGCUCUGGGCUUCAUGUGCCCUAACAGAACUCCAGAGACAGAAGGAUGGAGUUGGCCGCACAAGUCUUCUGGAUUUAUAUCAAGUGACUCUCUGAAGAUGGGUGUGUGGCGACCAGGUGGAGGGGAAUUCACCAGUCUCUGGUGAGUGGCCAGUCAUCUCUGCUCCAGCUGAG